rnacentral:rRNA from 1 species
GACGAACGCUGGCGGCGUGCCUAAUACAUGCAAGUAGGACGCAGUUGCGAACGGGUGAGUACCGCGUAGGUAACGGCCUAAUAGCGGGGGAUAACUGUUGGAAACGAUAGCUAAUACCGCAUACUAGUAGAUGGACCUGCGUUGUAUGAUCUAGUAGGUAGGGUAAUGGGCUACCUAGGCGACGAUACAUAGCCGACCUGAGAGGGUGAUCGGGUAAACCGGGACUGAGGCAACGGCCCGACUCCUUACGGAGGCAGCAGUAGGGAAUCGUCGGCAAUUGGGGGAACCCUGACCGAGGAACGCCGCGUUGUGUAAGAAGGGUUUCGGAUCGGAAAGCUAUGUUAUGAAGGAAGCGUUACUUAACCAGUAAGGGACGGCUAACUACGUGCCAGCAGCCGCGGUAAUUC